rnacentral:lncRNA from 1 species
GUGAGUGGUGUGGUUCCAAAGGGUAGUCAAAGCAAGUGCAUUUCCGUGUUUUUGUAGGUGUUAUUGUUUUUUUUUUUGGUGAAAUAAAGGCAAUGUGGUAGAAUUGUUGCAUGAAUUUUGCCAUGAUAUUUUGGAUGUUUCCAUAUUUUAUUUUUUACAGGAUUUAAAGGUUUAAAUCACUAUAUGUUGAUUAUUACUCAGACUUGUUCUCAAUGAUUGAAACUGUGAUCAUAGUCAUUUUGAUGUUCAUUUGAUAAUGAUA